AAACUUUCAACAACGGAUCUCUUGGUUCUCGCAUCGAUGAAGAACGCAGCGAACUGCGAUACGUAAUGUGAAUUGCAGAAUUCCGUGAAUCAUCGAAUCUUUGAACGCACAUUGCGCCCCUUGGUAUUCCGGGGGGCAUGCCUGUUUGAGCGUCAUUU
rnacentral:rRNA from 1 species